GAUGAACGCUGGCGGCGUGCCUAAUACAUGCAAGUCGAGCGAACAGACGAGGAGCUUGCUCCUCUGACGUUAGCGGCGGACGGGUGAGUAACACGUGGAUAACCUACCUAUAAGACUGGGAUAACUUCGGGAAACCGGAGCUAAUACCGGAUAAUAUAUUGAACCGCAUGGUUCAAUAGUGAAAGACGGUUUUGCUGUCACUUAUAGAUGGAUCCGCGCCGCAUUAGCUAGUUGGUAAGGUAACGGCUUACCAAGGCAACGAUGCGUAGCCGACCUGAGAGGGUGAUCGGCCACACUGGAACUGAGACACGGUCCAGACUCCUACGGGAGUCAGCAGUAGGGAAUCUUCCGCAAUGGGCGAAAGCCUGACGGAGCAACGCCGCGUGAGUGAUGAAGGUCUUCGGAUCGUAAAACUCUGUUAUUAGGGAAGAACAAAUGUGUAAGUAACUAUGCACGUCUUGACGGUACCUAAUCAGAAAGCCACGGCUAACUACGUG
rnacentral:rRNA from 1 species